UACAGAGAGUGCGAGCGUUAAUCGGAAUCACUGGGCGUAAAGCGCAUGUAGGUGGAUAUUUAAGUCGGAUGUGAAAGCCCUGGGCUUAACCUAGGAAUCGCAUUCGAUACUGCUUAUCUAGAGUAUGGUAGAGGGAAGUGGAAUUUCCGGUGUAGCGGUGAAAUGCGUAGAUAUCGGAAAGAACACCAGUGGCGAAGGCGGCUUCCUGGACCAAUACUGACACUAAAGUGCGAAAGCGUGGGGAGCAAACAGG
rnacentral:rRNA from 1 species